rnacentral:tRNA from 1 species
GCGAAAGUAGCUCAGUGGUAGAGCAUAACCUUGCCAAGGUUGGGGUCGCGAGUUCGAAUCUCGUUUUUCGCUCCA